AUUGAACGCUGGCGGCAGGCCUAACACAUGCAAGUCGAGCGGGGUUUUCGGACCUAGCGGCGGACGGGUGAGUAAUGCGUAGGAAGCUGCCCGAUAGAGGGGGAUACCAGUUGGAAACGACUGUUAAUACCGCAUAAUGUCUACGGACCAAAGUGUGGGACCUUCGGGCCACAUGCUAUCGGAUGCGCCUACGUGGGAUUAGCUAGUUGGUGAGGUAAUGGCUCACCAAGGCGACGAUCUCUAGCUGGUUUGAGAGGAUGAUCAGCCACACUGGAACUGCGACGAGGACAGGACUCCUACGGGAGGCAGCAGUGGGGAAUAUUGGACAAUGGGCGCAAGCCUGAUCCAGCCAUGCCGCGUGUGUGAAGAAGGCCUUCGGGUUGUAAAGCACUUUCAGCGAGGAGGAAGGGUGGUGUGUUAAUAGCACAUCAUUUUGACGUUACUCGCAGAAGAAGCACCGGCUAACUCUGUGCCAGCCGCCGCCGCGGUAA
rnacentral:rRNA from 1 species